rnacentral:rRNA from 1 species
GAUGAACGCUGGCGGCGUGCCUAAUACAUGCAAGUCGAGCGAACAGACGAGGAGCUUGCUCCUCUGACGUUAGCGGCGGACGGGUGAGUAACACGUGGAUAACCUACCUAUAAGACUGGGAUAACUUCGGGAAACCGGAGCUAAUACCGGAUAAUAUAUUGAGCCGCAUGGUUCAAUAGUGAAAGACGGUUUUGCUGUCACUUAUAGAUGGAUCCGCGCCGCAUUAGCUAGUUGGUAAGGUAACGGCUUACCAAGGCGACGAUGCGUAGCCGACCUGAGAGGGUGAUCGGCCACACUGGAACUGAGACACGGUCCAGACUCCUACGGGAGGCAGCAGUAGGGAAUCUUCCGCAAUGGGCGAAAGCCUGACGGAGCAACGCCGCGUGAGUGAUGAAGGUCUUCGGAUCGUAAAACUCUGUUAUUAGGGAAGAACAAAUGUGUAAGUAACUAUGCACGUCUUGACGGUACCUAAUCAGAAAGCCACGGCUAACUACGUG